GUCCACGCCCUAAACGAUGCUCACUAGGUGUUGGGGAAGCGAUUCCUUGGUACCGUAGCUAACGCGUGAAGUGAGCCGCCUGGGGAGUACGGCCGCAAGGUUAAAACUCAAAGGAAUUGACGGGGACCCGCACAAGCGGUGGAUGAUGUGGAUUAAUUCGAUGCAACGCGAACAACCUUACCUACCCCUUGACAUGUCCGAGAGCCUGCUGAAAGGUGGGUGUGCCCGAAAGGGGAUCGGAACACAGGUGCUGCAUGGCUGUCGU
rnacentral:rRNA from 1 species